AAAAAUAUAAUGGAAACAAUUUUUUUGAAUAUUAUAACGAAUAUGUCAUUAUUUAAACUUUACUUCACGGUAAUAUUCAUGAUUUUAUAUGAACAUAUUAUGGGACAAUUAAUAUUCCUGGCUGAGUCCCCAAGUCUAAGCAAAAAUACACCUACACUAGGUUACCCUAGGAAAUUCAAUCAUAAAUAAACUUUUUUUCACUUUCUUAUACCUAAGAUCAUUUGAAUGGCUGUGUAUUUGUAUCGGAGUGCAGGAAGGAGAGCGGGACGGAUAAAAUGACCAAGUCUUUCGGAUGAGAGUCCUGGAGAGAAGCGCGUGUAUUUAUUGUGACGCCACUGAGUUACCGGCGACAUACGUAUAACAUUUCAGACUCAAUGGCGUAAACAGCGGCUGAAAAACAACGGCUUUAUAGG